GUUCCUCAGUACAGUACUCCAGCAGGGCUUAUAUAGACAAACCAAACCCAGCCAAAUCAAACCUCCCCAAAUCCAACAUUUCCUGCAUGUCCAAAAUGGGAGACAGGCGCCUGAGUAACCCGGGGCAAGACGCCGAAAGAAGCCUGUUUGUGUGCUGCGGCCGUGCUGUGACUUUGGAUCUUGUCUUUCAGCCGGCGCCUCGGUUCCUGCCCAGCUGGAUUUGGGGGGCAGCAUUGCCUGGCGCAGGGAGAUCAAAUGAGACUGCAAAGAAGCAUAAAAUGAAUAGACAAUCCAACCAACCAAAGACCGGGGGCAGCAGCAGGCCAGCAAGACGGCAUCUUCUCCUUCCCAGCCUAGAAGCCCUGUGAAAUCGAGGAUCUUCCCCCUAAAACACAUACACACAAGAUAUGUGCAAUCAAGCUGCCACCGCUUGGUAAAAAGCCAUGGUGCCUAACCAAAAAGGAUCAGGAACAGAUCCUUGAAUCAGCUGUCACUUCUAUAGAAUGGGAUUUUUUUUUCCUUCCUCCUUAACCUGCGCUGGAAAUUGCCGUUGGC
ensembl:lncRNA MIR9-2HG MIR9-2 host gene